GGAGGGGGCUCCCGAGCACGCGCGCGGAGACGGGAGUUGGGAAGCUCUCGCGAGAUCUUCACGAUGCUAUAUAUGUGCGCAGGGAGCCCGCGUCCUUUCCCUGGUGUGAUUCCGUCCUGCGCGGCUGUUCUGUGAACAGUAGUCGUUUAUCUCCGUCCGCCUUCUCUCCCACCUAAGUGCGAGCCACCACCCCAUGGAAGAUUCGAUGGAUAUGGACAUGAGCCCCCUGAGGCCCCAGAACUAUCUUUUCGGUUGUGAACUAAAGGCUGACAAGGAUUAUCACUUUAAGGUGGAUAAUGAUGAAAAUGAACACCAGUUAUCUUUAAGAACGGUCAGUUUAGGAGCUGGUGCAAAGGAUGAAUUGCACAUUGUUGAAGCAGAGGCAAUGAAUUACGAAGGCAGUCCAAUUAAAGUCACACUGGCAACUUUGAAAAUGUCUGUACAGCCAACGGUUUCCCUUGGGGGCUUUGAAAUAACACCACCUGUGGUCUUACGGUUGAAAUGUGGUUCAGGGCCUGUGCAUAUUAGUGGACAGCACUUAGUAGCUGUAGAGGAAGAUGCAGAGUCAGAAGAUGAAGAGGAAGAGGACGUGAAACUCCUUAGUAUAUCUGGAAAGCGUUCUGCCCCUGGAAGUGGUAGCAAGGUUCCUCAGAAAAAAGUAAAACUUGCUGCUGAUGAAGAUGAUGAUGAAGAUGACGAUGAUGACGAUGAUGACGAAGAUGAUGAUGAUGAUGAUUUUGAUGAUGAGGAAGCGGAAGAAAAGGCUCCAGUAAAGAAAUCUAUACGAGAUACUCCAGCCAAAAAUGCACAGAAAUCGAACCAGAAUGGAAAAGACUCAAAACCAUCAACACCAAGAACAAAAGGUCAAGAAUCUUUCAAAAAACAGGAAAAGACUCCCAAGACACCAAAAGGACCUAGUUCUGUAGAAGACAUUAAAGCAAAAAUGCAAGCAAGUAUAGAAAAAGCGAAUUGAACAGUCCUGGGCACUACUGGUAAAUUAAGCCCAAAGCUGGGGAGAGAGGAAAAGGAGAGACAAAUAUAGUCCAUACGGACUGUCAUCAACAAUCCAGACUGAAGUUUCAAAUUCCCUUUCCUGAUUUGCCACCUACCCACAUCCCCUUCCAGGCUGGAAGCAAUCUCAUUCUUGAUCUCCUAAAGCACUUUUCUUUUGACUGCUGUGAUUUCAGUGACCCCUUACACUUGGCUUUCUAUGAUGUGUGCAAUUGCCUCACUUAUUGAUGAUGUUUCAGUCACUUCUGUAUCUCCCUAGCUGCUCAAUAAAUAUUUUAAUGAAUCAAAUAAGAAUGUAUGUGACAAUAAUUUAAAAAUUGGAAAUUACAGUAAGGUUUAUUUUCUAGGUUAUAGAGGUAGUUUAACUAUCUUACACCAUAUGUCUGAUCCCUAAACUGUUCGUGCCAUGAUUCCUUUGACAUUUUGAAACCUUGAUCUUUCAAAAUGUGUAGAAAAUUGAGGUUAAAGGAAAAUUAAAAUUUAGUUAUAAAAAGAGGAAACAAAAAGGAUAUACUUAGUGUAAAUAAGAUCAUUCAGAAGUAGUGAUGAAUAUGAACGUCUCCGGUAUUUUGCAGUAAUUGCUAUGUUUAAAAAUACUUGGUGAUGAAAUAUUUUGAAAAUAAUUUGGUGCUAAUAGCAUUACGAUUUCUUCCCCGUAUCCAUAAUUGAUGAAGGAGGUUCCAAGUUACAAUUAGUGAAAUGUGGGGCUAAUUUUCCCUCCCAUUUGACUUCAUAAACGUCCUGAACUGACUCCCAGGUUAGCAUUGUGCUGAACCUAGGUUUUUAGUAAGUAUUAAAACAAUUUCGAUUUCUUUGUAUGUGGUACUCAAAAAAGGGUAUACAUUUGUUUUGUAUUUGGUUCUGGGUGGUAUAUAUAAUACAGUAGGCAGGCAGUCGACAUUUGAGGGUCUGAAGAAUCUCAAGUGUAGUUUAUAUUUUGUAUUUUUAGACAAAAUAUAUUGUCUAAAAUUGGAGAGAAUUCGAGACUGAUAAAUGUAGCAGUAUGGGACUACUAUGAAAGACCUAAGGUUUUUUUUCCCCCUUUUAACUUUAAAUUCAAUUGAUUAACACAGUGUGUAAGUUUCAAAGGUAGAGUUCAGUGAUUCAUCAGUCUUAAACCCAGCGUUCAUUACAUCAUGAGCCCUCCUUAAUGGAAGACCUAGCUCUUAAGUCUCGUUGCCCAGUAGGUGUUUCUGGGCCUAAAAAACAGUAUUAAAAUGAAAGAGUUGAAUUGAUAUGAAAUGAACCAGUGAUGUGUGUAAAUAGCAUGAAAAUCUGUGAGGAAUUUCCUAAUACCUCAAUAACAGUGUUUCCGUACUUAACCUUAAUAAUGCUUUUGUCUCCUAGGGUGGUUCUCUUCCCAAAGUGGAAGCCAAGUUCAUCAAUUAUGUGAAGAAUUGCUUCCGGAUGACUGACCAAGAGGCUAUUCAAGAUCUCUGGCAGUGGAGGAAGUCUCUUUAAGAAAAUAGUUUAAACAGUUUGUUAAAAUUUUCCGUCUUAUUUCAUUUCUGUAACAGUUGAUAUCUGGCUGUCCUUUUUAUAAUGCAGAGUGAGAACUUUCCCUACCGUGUCUGAUAAAUGUUGUUCAGGUUCCAUUGCCAAGAAUGUGUUGUCCAAAAUGCCUGUUUAGUUUUUAAAGAUGGAACUCCACCCUUUGCUUGGUUUUAAGUAUGUAUGGAAUGUUAUGAUAGGACAUAGUAGUAGUGGUGGUCAGACAAAUGGAAAUGGUGGGGAGACAAAAAUAUACAUGUGAAAUAAACUCAGUAUUUUAAUAAAGUA